UACGGGGGGGGCAAGCGUUGUUCGGAUUUACUGGGCGUAAAGGGCGCGCAGGCGGCUCAUUUUGUCAGGCGUGAAAGCCCCGGGCUUAACCUGGGAACUGCGUUUGAUACGGAUGGGCUAGAGUUCGGGAGAGGAGAGUGGAAUUCCCAGUGUAGAGGUGAAAUUCGUAGAUAUUGGGAAGAACACCGGUGGCGAAGGCGGCUCUCUGGACCGAGACUGACGCUGAGGCGCGAAAGCGUGGGGAGCAAACAGG
rnacentral:rRNA from 1 species